GGCACUGUGGCGGAGUGGUUAACGCGUUGGCCUGCUAAGCCAAUUCCCUCUGGGAGCAAGGGUUCGAAUCCCUUCGGUGUCG
rnacentral:tRNA from 1 species